CAUAAUCAAUAGUCUCUUAAUUGGUGACUUGUAUGAAUGAUUGGAUGAAAUAUAAACUGUCUCUUAAUUAAUUUAUAAAAUUUAAUUUUUUAGUUAAAAAGCUAAAAUAAUUUAAAAAGACGAGAAGACCCUAUAGAGUUUUAUAAUUAAUUUAUUAAUUUUUUUUUAUUUAUUAUAAAAUUAUUAAUAUUUUAAUUAUUUUGUUGGGGUGAUAGAAAAAUAAAAUUAACUUUUUUUUUAUUUAAACAUAAAUAAGUGAUUAAUUGAUCCAUUAAUAAUGAUUAUCAGAAAAAAUUACCUUAGGGAUAACAGCGUAAUUUUUUUUUUUAGUUCAAAUAAGAAAAAAAGUUUGCGACCUCGAUGUUGGAUUAAGAUAAAAUUUAAAUGUAAAAGUUUAAAAUUUUUGAUCUGUUCGAUCAUUAAAAUCUUACGUGAUCUGAGUUCA
rnacentral:rRNA from 1 species